rnacentral:tRNA from 1 species
GGGCCCGUGGCCUAGCGGCUAAGGCAAGCGGCUCAUAACUGCUGGAUCGUAGGUUCGAAUCCUACCGGGCCCA